rnacentral:rRNA from 1 species
ACAGCAGCAGCCACGGUAAUACAGAGGGUGCAAGCGUUAAUCGGAAUUACUGGGCGUAAAGCGCGCGUAGGUGGUUUGUUAAGUUGGAUGUGAAAGCCCCGGGCUCAACCUGGGAACUGCAUCCAAAACUGGCAAGCUAGAGUACGGUAGAGGGUGGUGGAAUUUCCUGUGUAGCGGUGAAAUGCGUAGAUAUAGGAAGGAACACCAGUGGCGAAGGCGACCACCUGGACUGAUACUGACACUGAGGUGCGAAAGCGUGGGGAGCAAACAGGAUUAGAUACCCCAGUAGUCCCUGUCUCUUAUAA